rnacentral:rRNA from 12 species
CAGCAGCCGCGGUAAUACGGAGGGUGCAAGCGUUAAUCGGAAUUACUGGGCGUAAAGCGCUCGUAGGCGGAUUGGUCAGUCAGAGGUGAAAGCCCAGGGCUCAACCUUGGAAUUGCCUUUGAUACUGCCAGUCUUGAGUUCAGGAGAGGUAAGCGGAAUUCCGAGUGUAGAGGUGAAAUUCGUAGAUAUUCGGAGGAACACCAGAGGCGAAGGCGGCUUACUGGACUGAUACUGACGCUGAGGAGCGAAAGCGUGGGGAGCGAAC